rnacentral:tRNA from 1 species
UGCGGAGUAGUGAGUAGUUGGUAGCUCGGCAGGCUCAUAACCUGUUGCCUUUGUGCCCCGUCGGUUCGAACCCGACCUCCGCUACCA